GACGAACGCUGGCGGCGUGCUUAACACAUGCAAGUCGAACGAAGUGGCGAACGGGUGAGUAACGCGUAAUCAACCUGCCCUUCAGAGGGGGACAACAGUUGGAAACGCCUGCUAAUACCGCCUACUGACGGAGGGGAUUGCGUCUGCUUAGCUAGUUGGAGGGGUAACGGACCACCAGGGCGAUGAUCAGUAGCCGGGCUGAGAGGAUGAACGGACACAUUGGGACUGAGACACGGCCCAGACUCCUACGGGAGGCAGCAGUGGGGAAUCUUCCGAAAUGGACGAAAGUCUGACGGAGCAACGCCGCGUGAGUGAUGACGGCCUUCGGGUUGUAAAGCUCUGUUAAUCGGGACGCGGUACCGGAAUAGAAAGCCACGGCUAACUACGUGCCAGCCGCCGCGGUAAUUC
rnacentral:rRNA from 1 species